rnacentral:rRNA from 1 species
UUGACCUCAAAUCAGGUAAGACUACCCGCUGAACUUAAGCAUAUCAAUAAGCGGAGGAAAAGAAACCAACAGGGAUUGCCUUAGUAACGGCGAGUGAAGCGGC